ACACCAACAGAUGAGCAGAAAAGGGAAGGAGGUCUUUCAUGAAUGUGAUGAUGUGAUUGGAGAACUUUCAAGGAUUAACAAAACCAAAGAUUCCACAUGAAAGUGAAAUCAUAUGGUAUGAAAAGAUGCUCGAUAUCUCUAAUCAUCAGGGAAAUGCACAUCAAAAUCACGGUGAGAUAUCACCUCACACCUGUCAGAAUAGCUCAUAUCAAAAAGGUGAGAGAUAACAAGUGUUGACGAGGAUGUGGAGAAAAGGGAACCUUCGUGUACUGUUUGUGGGAAUGUAAAUUGGUGCGGCCACUGUGGAAAACAGUAUGGAGGUUCCUCAAAGAAACUGAAGGCAACAAAAACAGUAAUUCAGAAAGAUAUAUGCACCCCGAUGUUCAUAGCAGUACUAUUUAUAAUAGCCAAGACAUGGAAGCAGCCUAAGUGUCCAUCGAUGGAUGAAUGGAUAAAGAAGAUGUGAUACAUAAUGGACUGUUACUUGGCCAUAAAAAGAAUAAAAUCUUGCUAUCUGUGAUAACAUGGAUAGACUUAGGGGAUAUUAUGCUAAGUGAAAUAAGCCAGGCAGAGGAAGACUCAAUACCUUUGGACUGAUUUUCAGUAUAUCCCUCAGAAGAUACGAAAGCAUCUCAACGACACUCAAGGACACCACUUCUCCUUUGAACCAUGCCUCCUGGUUUGUUAAGAGCCUGCUAUUCUGCAUGAGAAGCUCCUACAAAAUUCAAGUGUGCAGAAGAACUUGUGUGAUUUGUUUUCUGUCCACCCAUUUCGCUUUCCCAAGGAGACAGGUUCACCCAUUGCCCUUGGGCUCUGGUGUUUGAAACUGUCAUAGAAGAGUGUGUGCCUUGUGCUGAAGCUGGCCAUCAUUAUGCCAAUUUGGAAGCAUGUAAACUGGCCUUAUAAAAUGUCCACCAGAACCGAUGGAGGCAAUGGACGGUGAUGACGUUUGAUUCUUUCCCUCCACACUCUCCUUCCACUUCUCUACAGUCUCCCCA